rnacentral:rRNA from 1 species
CACAAGCGGUGGAGCAUGUUGGUUUAAUUCGAAGCAACGACGAAGAACCUUACCAGGUCUUGACAUCCCGAUGCUAUUUCUAGAGAUAGAAAGUUACUUCGGUACAUCGGUGACAGGUGGUGCAUGGUUGUCGUCAGCUCGUGUCGUGAGAUGUUGGGUUAAGUCCCGCAACGAGCGCAACCCCUAUUGUUAGUUGCCAUCAUUCAGUUGGGCACUCUAGCGAGACUGCCGGUAAUAAACCGGAGGAAGGUGGGGAUGACGUCAAAUCAUCAUGCCCCUUAUGACCUGGGCUACACACGUGCUACAAUGGUUGGUACAACGAGUUGCGAGUCGGUGACGGCGAGCUAAUCUCUUAAAGCCAAUCUCAGUUCGGAUUGUAGGCUGCAACUCGCCUACAUGAAGUCGGAAUCGCUAGUAAUCGCGGAUCAGCACGCCGCGGUGAAUACGUUCCCGGGCCUU